UAGUCCAUGCCGUAAACGUUGGGCACUAGGUGUGGGGGACAUUCCACGUUUUCCGCGCCGUAGCUAACGCAUUAAGUGCCCCGCCUGGGGAGUACGGCCGCAAGGCUAAAACUCAAAGGAAUUGACGGGGGCCCGCACAAGCGGCGGAGCAUGCGGAUUAAUUCGAUGCAACGCGAAGAACCUUACCAAGGCUUGACAUGCACUGGAUCGCUGCAGAGAUGUGGUUUUCUUUGGACUGGUGCAC
rnacentral:rRNA from 1 species